rnacentral:rRNA from 1 species
GAUGAACGCUGGCGGCGUGCCUAAUACAUGCAAGUCGAGCGAACAGAUAAGGAGCUUGCUCCUUUGACGUUAGCGGCGGACGGGUGAGUAACACGUGGGUAACCUACCUAUAAGACUGGGAUAACUUCGGGAAACCGGAGCUAAUACCGGAUAACAUUUGGAACCGCAUGGUUCUAAAGUGAAAGAUGGUUUUGCUAUCACUUAUAGAUGGACCCGCGCCGUAUUAGCUAGUUGGUAAGGUAACGGCUUACCAAGGCGACGAUACGUAGCCGACCUGAGAGGGUGAUCGGCCACACUGGAACUGAGACACGGUCCAGACUCCUACGGGAGGCAGCAGUAGGGAAUCUUCCGCAAUGGGCGAAAGCCUGACGGAGCAACGCCGCGUGAGUGAUGAAGGGUUUCGGCUCGUAAAACGCUGUUAUUAGGGAAGAACAAAUGUGUAAGUAACUGUGCACGUCUUGACGGUACCUAAUCAGAAAGCCACGGCUAACUACGUG